GAUGAACGCUGGCGGCGUGCCUAAUACAUGCAAGUCGAGCGAAUGGAUUAAGAACUUGCUCUCAUGAAGUUAGCGGCGGACGGGUGAGUAACACGUGGGUAACCUGCCCAUAAGACUGGGAUAACUCCGGGAAACCGGGGCUAAUACCGGAUAACAUUUUGAACCGCAUGGUUCGGAAUUGAAAGGCGGCUUCGGCUGUCACUUAUGGAUGGACCCGCGUCGCAUUAGCUAGUUGGUGAGGUAACGGCUCACCAAGGCAACGAUGCGUAGCCGACCUGAGAGGGUGAUCGGCCACACUGGGACUGAGACACGGCCCAGACUCCUACGGGAGGCAGCAGUAGGGAAUCUUCCGCAAUGGACGAAAGUCUGACGGAGCAACGCCGCGUGAGUGAUGAAGGCUUUCGGGUCGUAAAACUCUGUUGUUAGGGAAGAACAAGUGCUAGUUGAAUAAGCUGGCACCUUGACGGUACCUAACCAGAAAGCCACGGCUAACUACGUGCCAGCCGCCGCGGUAA
rnacentral:rRNA from 1 species